rnacentral:rRNA from 1 species
UACGUAGGGAGCAAGCGUUGUCCGGAAUCAUUGGGCGUAAAGAGCGUGUAGGCGGCCCGGUAAGUCCGCUGUGAAAGUCCAGGGCUCAACCCUGGGAUGCCGGUGGAUACUGUCGGGCUCGAGUCCGGAAGAGGAGUGUGGAAUUCCUGGUGUAGCGGUGAAAUGCGCAGAUAUCAGGAGGAACACCAAUGGCGAAGGCAGCACUCUGGGACGUGACUGACGCUGAGACGCGAAAGCGUGGGGAGCAAACAGG